UAGAGAUUAACAAGGAAGGUGACUCAAAAUGAAGAAUGAACGAGAAAGAAAGAUCAAAUAUGACUUCGUAAAUGCAACUGGGGAUGCCUGAAAGGAGCUAAUUGACAACAAAAAGAGGAUAUGCAGAAAGUUGAUUGAGGACAGAAAAGGGAUGAGUUAGGUUUCAGGGAAGAUAAAUUUAUAAGGAGAUAUUAUCUUGGUCCAAUAGCCAUGUGCUAUGAUGAGUUCUCAGUGGCCUCUGCUUAUCAAGGACCAACUCAUUCUGAUUGGUGUCUAUUGAAGCAAAGAGCUGCUCUCGCCUGCCGGGACCUCAUUUGGGGAAAGUGGUCAUUUGCUCCCACCCACAUUUGUACUACUACUCCUUGAUGGUACUGGCUGGCCAGGAUAAAACCACUCAGAGAUGACACAAUUGAUGCGGGCCAGCAAGGAAGGAAAUCACCACACUUCAGAAGGAAAAUCUGCCCUCAUGAAGAAAAUGUGCUGGUCACAAAGAGUUGGGCUGUUCUUAUCCUACACAGCAAGUUCUCACUGCAAAUUAAUUAACUGGUUGGAUUCCUAAGUGGCCUGUUGUGCAGUCUCACCUGACCUUUCUUUGGAACUGGGAACGGGUUGGAGAAAAGCAGGCAGAUAAACUUGUCUUAGAAAGUCUAGGGAUGCUUCCUGUUCUUAGGAAGGACAUCCCUGAUAAGACCUUUGCAACACAAGCUUCAGGUGCAUAGAGAGGAAAACCAAGAUGAGACUUACAUUCCUGCCAUAAACAACUAGGAAACUGGGCGGAAUAGUAAAAACAACUCUUUGCAGAUAUUGGACAACCAUCAUUCUGGAGCUAUUAUCUUGAUAUUCAGAGAAGGUAAACAAAUGUGGCUCCCUUUCAAGAGUCUCAAUGCAUUUGCCAAGGAGCAAUUUCACUCCAUUUCCUUCUUCCACCACCAUUUUCCAGAGUCCUCAAUCCCAGGGAGUUGGCUGGCACUACCUUGAUGAGAAGGAACGAUAGAGAAAUGCAAACAAGUCAGAAAAGAGCAGAGGAAAGAAUGUGAGAGGCUGUGGCUGGAACUAUGAUGGUAGCAAGUGUGCUCAAGAGUUCCUUUAUAAUAACAAACCUCAAGCACUAAUGAGCAUUGCUGAAGAUAAAGAUUUACUGUUUCCAUUUGGUCCACGGCUUGGAAUAGGGCUCCAGGGUGGUUAAGAUGCUGCCUUGUGGCUGAAGGGAGAAGCUGAAGCAGAAGCCCUACCACCAGGGGAGACCAAGAAGACCCUCAAAGGCUGCCGGGCUCCAGAGGCUCCUAGUCAUGCUCGAAGGUAAGGAAACUGAAGCCUGGAGAGGGUAGGUAUAUGGACCUAGGAGUGGAAACCAAGCCAUAAUGCAACUUCUAACUCAGUGUUCUUCCCAUUAUACUUUUUGGAAUAACAGAAGGAAAUAAUCUCUGACAACAUAAUUAAGAGGUCAAAUAAAUUACGCAAGGUUAUAGAGCUAGUAAGUGGCAACAGUGGGAUAAGAAUCUAGCUAUCUGAGAACCCAAAGCCCAUUAUUUAUACCGUACAAUUAUAUUCUUUAUAUAUUGUUAUAAAACAAAUUGAAAUGUGUUUUUGUUAAAAUAUAUUUGAGUUUCA